GUUUACCGUUAAUGCAGUACUUAUACCAAAAUUGGAACGAUACAGAGAAGAUUAGCAUGGCCCCUGCGCAAGGAUGACACGUAAAUUCGUGAAGCGUUCCAUAUUUUU